GACGUGGGAGCGCGAGCGUUUGUCCGGAUUUAUUGGCGUAAAGAGCUCGUAGGUGGUUUGUCGCGUUGUUCGUGAAAACUCACAGCUUAACUGUGGGCGUGCGGGCGAUACGGGCAUCACUGGAGUUCGGCAGGGGGAGACUGGAAUUCCUGGUGUAGCGGUGAAAUGCGCAGAUAAUCAGGAGGAACACCGGUGGCGAAGGCGGCCACCUGGACGGUUACUGACGCUGAGACGCGAAAAGCGUGGGGGAGCAAACAGG
rnacentral:rRNA from 1 species